ensembl:lincRNA
GCUCUUCCCCAUGACCAGCAGGAAGGGCAGCAGGGCUCCAGGGACCUUGCUCUUUUUCGGGGUAGCAGACGUAGGUCCUGGGGAUCAAACUUGUAUCCUAAUAAGGCUUGGUGGAGAGCUCCCUUACCACUGAACCACCUCGCCGAACCUGCACAGGAUUCGUGAAAAUGCAAGGUCACACAUCCACCGUCAGAGUAUGUCAACUGCAUCUCAGUGGCGCUUCCUAUUUAUUUUUCAUGAGAGAAACAGAGAUGAAUCUGAGUCAGGUUCUAGGACACUGGUAGACAGGUUGAGGAGAGGAGGGGAAUGUGGCUGCGCCCAAAAUGCCUGAGGCUGAGUGCCCAUGGUCAUUGUUCUAUUAGGCUGGGGAUGAGCUGAAGGAGAUGGAGCUGAAGUCUUCAAAUCACCUUUCCCUCACUCCCUACCCGCCACCCCACCCUGUCCCCUCCGCACACUGGAAGCCGCUAGCUCUGCUCAGCCUUAUCUCUAAGGCUGUCUCCAACAUUCCUUCAUCCUGAAAAGUUUCCAUAGCCACAGAGAUGGCUCAGCUGGUGAAGGCACCCCUCACCAAACCUCACAAACCCAGAACCCACAGUGGAAGCAGAGAACCAGCUCCUGCAAGUUGUCCUCUGACCCCCGACCUGUGCACGGUGACAAGUACACACACUGCCCUCCGCUCCAAAUGAAGUAAAUAAUUGCUAGGGGGUUGGUUUUUGUUUGUUUUCAAGAAGACAUUUCCAGCCAAUAAAGGGCUUCCUGAAAUUGGGCAGAGCAACCU